CACGUAGGGCGCAAGCGUUGUCCGGAAUUAUUGGGCGUAAAGAGCUCGUAGGCGGUCUGUUGCGAUCCGGCCUGUGAAAACCCGGGGCUUAACCCCUGGCUUGCAGUGGAUACGGAGAGACUAGAGGUAGGUAGGGGAGAAAUGGAAUUCCCGGUGUAGCGGUGAAAAUGCGCAGAUAUCGGGAGGAACACCGGUGGCGAAGGCGGUUCUCUGGGACGGUCUGGACGCUGAAGAGG
rnacentral:rRNA from 1 species